rnacentral:rRNA from 1 species
AUUGAACGCUGGCGGCAUGCCUUACACAUGCAAGUCGAACGGCAGCACGGGGGCAACCCUGGUGGCGAGUGGCGAACGGGUGAGUAAUGCAUCGGAAUGUACCCAGUAGUGGGGGAUAACUAGUCGAAAGACUGGCUAAUACCGCAUACGCACUAUGGUGGAAAGCGGGGGAUCGCAAGACCUCGCGCUAUUGGAGCAGCCGAUGUCCGAUUAGGUAGUUGGUGGGGUAAAGGCCUACCAAGCCUGCGAUCGGUAACUGGUCUGAGAGGACGACCAGUCACACUGGGACUGAGACACGGCCCAGACUCCUACGGGAGGCAGCAGUGGGGAAUUUUGGACAAUGGGCGCAAGCCUGAUCCAGCAAUGCCGCGUGUGUGAAGAAGGCCUCGGGUUGUAAGCACUUUGUUCAGGAACGAAACAAGUGUCCGCGUAAUACCGGGCGCGAAUGACGGUACC